UAUGGAAUUUGGCAGCAGCCGCGGUAAAACGUAGGUCACAAGCGUUGUCCGGAAUUACUGGGUGUAAAGGGAGCGCAGGCGGGAAGACAAGUUGGAAGUGAAAUCUAUGGGCUCAACCCAUAAACUGCUUUCAAAACUGUUUUUCUUGAGUAGUGCAGAGGUAGGCGGAAUUCCCGGUGUAGCGGUGGAAUGCGUAGAUAUCGGGAGGAACACCAGUGGCGAAGGCGGCCUACUGGGCACCAACUGACGCUGAGGCUCGAAAGUGUGGGUAGCAAACAGG
rnacentral:rRNA from 1 species